rnacentral:rRNA from 1 species
CACUAACUGGAGGACCGAACCGACUAAUGUUGAAAAAUUAGCGGAUGACUUGUGGCUGGGGGUGAAAGGCCAAUCAAACCGGGAGAUAGCUGGUUCUCCCCGAAAGCUAUUUAGGUAGCGCCUCGUGAAUUCAUCUCCGGGGGUAGAGCACUGUUUCGGCAAGGGGGUCAUCCCGACUUACCAACCCGAUGCAAACUGCGAAUACCGGAGAAUGUUAUCACGGGAGACACACGGCGGGUGCUAACGUCCGUCGUGAAGAGGGAAACAACCCAGACCGCCAGCUAAGGUCCCAAAGUCAUGGUUAAGUGGGAAACGAUGUGGGAAGGCCCAGACAGCCAGGAUGUUGGCUUAGAAGCAGCCAUCAUUUAAAGAAAGCGUAAUAGCUCACUGGUCGAGUCGGCCUGCGCGGAAGAUGUAACGGGGCUAAACCAUGCACCGAAGCUGCGGCAGCGACACUGUGUGUUGUUGGGUAGGGGAGCGUUCUGUAAGCCUGUGAAGGUGUACUGUGAGGUAUGCUGGAGGUAUCAGAAGUGCGAAUGCUGACAUAAGUAACGAUAAAGCGGGUGAAAAGCCCGCUCGCCGGAAGACCAAGGGUUCCUGUCCAACGUUAAUCGGGGCAGGGUGAGUCGACCCCUAAGGCGAGGCCGAAAGGCGUAGUCGAUGGGAAACAGGUUAAUAUUCCUGUACUUGGUGUUACUGCGAAGGGGGGACGGAGAAGGCUAUGUUGGCCGGGCGACGGUUGUCCCGGUUUAAGCGUGUAGGCUGGUUUUCCAGGCAAAUCCGGAAAAUCAAGGCUGAGGCGUGAUGACGAGGCACUACGGUGCUGAAGCAACAAAUGCCCUGCUUCCAGGAAAAGCCUCUAAGCAUCAGGUAACAUCAAAUCGUACCCCAAACCGACACAGGUGGUCAGGUAGAGAAUACCAAGGCGCUUGAGAGAACUCGGGUGAAGGAACUAGGCAAAAUGGUGCCGUAACUUCGGGAGAAGGCACGCUGAUAUGUAGGUGAAGUCCCUCGCGGAUGGAGCUGAAAUCAGUCGAAGAUACCAGCUGGCUGCAACUGUUUAUUAAAAACACAGCACUGUGCAAACACGAAAGUGGACGUAUACGGUGUGACGCCUGCCCGGUGCCGGAAGGUUAAUUGAUGGGGUCAGCGCAAGCGAAGCUCUUGAUCGAAGCCCCGGUAAACGGCGGCCGUAACUAUAACGGUCCUAAGGUAGCGAAAUUCCUUGUCGGGUAAGUUCCGACCUGCACGAAUGGCGUAAUGAUGGCCAGGCUGUCUCCACCCGAGACUCAGUGAAAUUGAACUCGCUGUGAAGAUGCAGUGUACCCGCGGCAAGACGGAAAGACCCCGUGAACCUUUACUAUAGCUUGACACUGAACAUUGAGCCUUGAUGUGUAGGAUAGGUGGGAGGCUUUGAAGUGUGGACGCCAGUCUGCAUGGAGCCGACCUUGAAAUACCACCCUUUAAUGUUUGAUGUUCUAACGUGGACCCGUGAUCCGGGUUGCGGACAGUGUCUGGUGGGUAGUUUGACUGGGGCGGUCUCCUCCUAAAGAGUAACGGAGGAGCACGAAGGUUGGCUAAUCCUGGUCGGACAUCAGGAGGUUAGUGCAAUGGCAUAAGCCAGCUUGACUGCGAGCGUGACGGCGCGAGCAGGUGCGAAAGCAGGUCAUAGUGAUCCGGUGGUUCUGAAUGGAAGGGCCAUCGCUCAACGGAUAAAAGGUACUCCGGGGAUAACAGGCUGAUACCGCCCAAGAGUUCAUAUCGACGGCGGUGUUUGGCACCUCGAUGUCGGCUCAUCACAUCCUGGGGCUGAAGUAGGUCCCAAGGGUAUGGCUGUUCGCCAUUUAAAGUGGUACGCGAGCUGGGUUUAGAACGUCGUGAGACAGUUCGGUCCCUAUCUGCCGUGGGCGCUGGAGAACUGAGGGGGGCUGCUCCUAGUACGAGAGGACCGGAGUGGACGCAUCACUGGUGUUCGGGUUGUCAUGCCAAUGGCACUGCCCGGUAGCUAAAUGCGGAAGAGAUAAGUGCUGAAAGCAUCUAAGCACGAAACUUGCCCCGAGAUGAGUUCUCCCUGACCCUUUAAGGGUCCUGAAGGAACGUUGAAGACGACGACGUUGAUAGGCCGGGUGUGUAAGCGCAGCGAUGCGUUGAGCUAACCGGUACUAAUGAACCGUGAGGCUUAACCUU